rnacentral:rRNA from 1 species
UACGGGGGGGGCAAGCGUUGUUCGGAAUUACUGGGCGUAAAGGGCUCGUAGGCGGCCAACUAAGUCAGACGUGAAAUCCCUCGGCUUAACCGGGGAACUGCGUCUGAUACUGGAUGGCUAGAGUUUGGGAGAGGGAUGCGGAAUUCCAGGUGUAGCGGUGAAAUGCGUAGAUAUCUGGAGGAACACCGGUGGCGAAGGCGGGUCUCUGGGCCGAUACUGACGCUGAGUAGCGAAAGCGUGGGGAGCGAACAGG